GGAGAAUAUGCUGAAUUGCCAGUUCUGGACUUAAAAUCCGGCAAAACUUGGUCACUUUGCCAGCAGCUGCUAUACGAACUUCAGCUUCAUUGUCUCGAAGCAAGCGCACAUAAGCAGGUACCAAAUCCGUCCUAGUAGGUUCAGGUCCUACAGCUUCACACAACUCGUACAACUGGUUCGCAACCAUGUAACGCACACGCCAAGACUUAUCCUGAGAG
rnacentral:misc_RNA from 1 species